rnacentral:rRNA from 1 species
ACACAUGCAAGUCGAGGGGCAUCAGUUUGGUUUGCUUGCAAACCAAAGCUGGCGACCGGCGCACGGGUGAGUAACACGUAUCCAACCUGCCUCAUACUCGGGGAUAGCCUUUCGAAAGAAAGAUUAAUAUCCGAUAGCAUAUAUUUCCCGCAUGGGUUUUAUAUUAAAGAAAUUCGGUAUGAGAUGGGGAUGCGUUCCAUUAGUUUGUUGGCGGGGUAACGGCCCACCAAGACUACGAUGGAUAGGGGUUCUGAGAGGAAGGUCCCCCACAUUGGAACUGAGACACGGUCCAAACUCCUACGGGAGGCAGCAGUGAGGAAUAUUGGUCAAUGGGCGAGAGCCUGAACCAGCCAAGUAGCGUGAAGGAUGACCGCCCUAUGGGUUGUAAACUUCUUUUAUAUGGGAAUAAAGGGUGCCACGUGUGGCAUUUUGUAUGUACCAUAUGAAUAAGGAUCGGCUAACUCCGUGCCAGCAGCCGCGGUAAUACGGAGGAUCCGAGCGUUAUCCGGAUUUAUUGGGUUUAAAGGGAGCGUAGGUGGACAUGUAAGUCAGUUGUGAAAGUUUGCGGCUCAACCGUAAAAUUGCAGUUGAAACUGCGUGUCUUGAGUACAGUAGAGGUGGGCGGAAUUCGUGGUGUAGCGGUGAAAUGCUUAGAUAUCACGAAGAACUCCGAUUGCGAAGGCAGCUCACUGGACUGCAACUGACACUGAUGCUCGAAAGUGUGGGUAUCAAACAGGAUUAGAUACCCUGGUAGUCCACACAGUAAACGAUGAAUACUCGCUGUUUGCGAUAUACAGUAAGCGGCCAAGCGAAAGCAUUAAGUAUUCCACCUGGGGAGUACGCCGGCA